rnacentral:rRNA from 1 species
UACGUAGGUGGCAAGCGUUGUCCGGAUUUACUGGGCGUAAAGCGCGCGCAGGCGGACUGAUCAGUCUGGGGUGAAAUCUCCCGGCUCAACUGGGAGCGGUCCCUGGAUACUGUAAGUCUUGAGAGACCUAGAGGAGAGCGGAAUUCCCGGUGUAGUGGUGGAAUGCGUAGAUAUCGGGAAGAACACCAGUGGCGAAGGCGGCUCACUGGUCCGGUACUGACGCUGAGGUGCGAAAGCGUGGGGAGCAAACAGG